AUUGAACGCUGGCGGCAGGCCUAACACAUGCAAGUCGAACGAGUGGCGGACGGGUGAGUAAUGUCUGGGAAACUGCCUGAUGGAGGGGGAUAACUACUGGAAACGGUAGCUAAUACCGCAUACCAUCGGAUGUGCCCAGAUGGGAUUAGCUAGUAGGUGGGGUAACGGCUCACCAAGGCGACGAUCCCUAGCUGGUCUGAGAGGAUGACCAGCCACACUGGAACUGAGACACGGUCCAGACUCCUACGGGAGGCAGCAGUGGGGAAUAUUGCACAAUGGGCGAAAGCCUGAUGCAGCCACGCCGCGUGUAUGAAGAAGGCCUUCGGGUUGUAAAGUACUGUCAGCGGGGAGGCGUUACCCGCAGAAGAAGCACCGGCUAACUCCGUGCCAGCAGCCGCGGUAAUUC
rnacentral:rRNA from 1 species